UAAUGAUUUGUCUUUGUUUAAUUAUUUUACUUAAAAUAUUAACUAUAAUUCAUUUAAUUAGUUAGAAGUAUACAAAUUUGAAAUUUAUGUACAAGUACGUGCAUUCAAAAUUCCAACCAAAAUGCAUUUAAACAAUGUAAGAAUUGUUGUUGAAACGUUUUGAUGAUUAGGCGUAGAUGGAACCCAUAUUUUUAUUUCUCAUAAAACUAGAACGCUUAAGCAUUUAACAAGUAUGCAUAUAUCACAACCUUCUCUCUCUCUCUCUCUAUACAUUUUAUAAAUCUCACCAUUCCUAGUCAUCUGCUUUAUUGACACCACUUUGUGUCACCAAUUAAAUAAAGCAUGGACAUAAUCAUUUGCCCAUCUAUCACCCUUUCCCUCUUUGUGUCAAGACCCAGCAAUAAUUUAUAAUUAUAUUUUUAAUGAGUGUUUUAAUUACAUGUAUUGCUUUUGUUGUUAAAACAUCUAAUCUUUGUUGAAUUUACUUUUUUUUUUUCCCAUUUUUGUUAAGUGUUACAUUUACAAUUUGACAUGGCAUAAUUUGAUCCUUUUUUUUCUUAAUAAACAUAAAUUUCUUUCACUUCAAGUAUACAGACUAUAAAAACAAGUUUACAAUAAAUUUCUUUCAUGUGCUAUAAUUAUGACAUCUUUGUUAAUCUAAAAAUUAAAUAGUACUAACAUUGACUAAAUAAAUUUAGGGGAAAAAAAGGAUGGGGGUAUCACGGGGAACCCGUGAGUCCGUAGGGGAUCAAAGCAUUUGCUAUUGCUACGUGGCAAAUUGGCAAUAAUGGAAUCUGAAUCUGUUGAGUGACGUGGCGUCAUUGCAGAUUCGGCAGUUUAAUUGUCACUGUCCUCACUGUAAUUUCGCCUCCUUUAACGGCAGUCUUCAUGUGCCGGUAACUAACGCCUCUUGAUAAAAGUGUAAGCACAGGUCUUCCCUCGUUAUAACGCCUGUUAUCCCGGACUCCAAACUUUCGUACGUUGGAUUUAAUAAAUUUUCCCGCUAAAACUGGUGGACUGUGAAAAGAAUAUAGAAAAUUGGAAAAAAAAAUUAAAUUGAAAUUUAAUUAGGAAUGUGCGCAGUGGGGCCUUUAGUAAGUUCCCUUCUGAAAAUGACAGCACAUUAGUCAUCAGGAAGGCGGGAACAUAUUUUUCAUUUCAUUUCAUUUCUUUUUUUGGAAAAAUAGUGACAAUAAAUUGAUUUGAUGUUUGAUUGGAUGGGAUGAGUGAUGAUUUAAAAAAAAAAAAAUCUUUUUUAAUUAUUUAAACAAUUUCCAAGCAAUAUAUCAGCAUCACAUGUUUGCCGCCCACUCUGUACAAACUAACUUCCAUACGUCAACUGUGUGAGUAUGUGUGCGCACAAGCAUCUCGUCUGGGUAGGGUAAAUGUAAAAUCUCUUUAUCCUCGUAAUUUUGGGACCAAUUAUUUUUAUUUUUAUGAGAAAAUUAUAAGAGGCACAUAAUUUUUUUUUUGUUUUAGCUUAAUUAUCCUUAAUCUAAAUAAUAUGUAUUACAUUAAUCUUAUAUGAUUAGGAAUAUAUAAUUAUUACAACAUCAUCUUAAAAUCUAAACAUUUACAUUCUCUUUAAUAUUUUUCUCUCAG
rnacentral:lncRNA from 1 species